UCCUCAUCUUUGGCCAAAAGAAAUGACCAGCCAGUAUGUCCUCCGUCUUCUUUGCCCCAAAAUGUCCCAUCAAACCACCUCCAUGUGCUUCCUGUAGCAACAACAAACGAACAGAGCUAGCUGGAAUGCAUAGCUUAUUAGCUCUAAACACAAAACCAUCAUUUACAACAAAUUUAUUCCAUGCCUUCCCAUCCUUACAAUGCAAAAACACAUCUUUAAAAUCAUCAUCAUGCACAUAUUGUUCUUUAACUGUUUCCAAUCCAA
rnacentral:lncRNA from 1 species